rnacentral:rRNA from 1 species
GACGAACCGUGCGAACGAUGUUCGGAAUAACGGGGCUUAAAGGGUGCGUCGGCGGCUCCGCCAGUCUGGGGUGAAAUCCUUCCGCUCAACGGGAGAACUGGCGUGGAUACUGCGGACCUCGAGGAAGAUAGGGGCGUGCGGAACAGUUGGUGGAGCGGUGAAAUGCGUUGAUAUCAACUGGAACUCCGGUGGCGAAGGCGGCACGCUGGGUCUUUUCUGACGCUGAGGCACGAAAGCUAGGGGAGCAAACGGG